rnacentral:piRNA from 1 species
UGUGGAGGUCCUGAGAACAUGUGCUCA